rnacentral:rRNA from 1 species
GAUGAACGCUGGCGGCGUGCCUAAUACAUGCAAGUCGAGCGAACGGACGAGAAGCUUGCUUUUCUGAUGUUAGCGGCGGACGGGUGAGUAACACGUGGAUAACCUACCUAUAAGACUGGGAUAACUUCGGGAAACCGGAGCUAACACCGGAUAAUAUUUUGAACCGCAUGGUUCAAAAGUGAAAGACGGUCUUGCUGUCACUUAUAGAUGGAUCCGCGCUGCAUUAGCUAGUUGGUAAGGUAACGGCUUACCAAGGCAACGAUGCAUAGCCGACCUGAGAGGGUGAUCGGCCACACGGGAACUGAGACACGGUCCAGACUCCUGCGGGAGGCAGCAGUAGGGAAUCUUCCGCAAUGGGCGAAAGCCUGACGGAGCAACGCCGCGUGAGUGAUGAAGGUCUUCGGAUCGUAAAACUCUGUUAUUAGGGAAGAACAUAUGUGUAAGUAACUGUGCACAUCUUGACGGUACCUAGUCAGAAAGCCACGGCUAACUACGUG